AUGACGGAGGCAGCCACAUUUCAGAUGCCUUCUGCCCUAAGACGGUUAUUUGCAACUAUACUGGUGUUUUGCGAGGCAACAGAAAUCCGGCAGCUGUGGGACAAACACCUGGCAUCAAUGUCUGAGGAUUACCGUCAUAAUCAAUCCAAUGAGGCAACACUUGAGCAGAUGGUCCUCAGAGAUAUCAGGGAUAUGUUGCAAUCCAUGGGAAAAGAUAUUACAAGCUAUGGACUUCCGGAUUUGGUUGAGCACGAUGGCUCUUCUGACGAUGAGUACAAAGAGGUAACAGAGGAGAGGCAAAUCAGCAUGGACAAAGAACACCUAGAUUUAUUUAGCAGUUUGAACAAUGAGCAGCUGGCUGGUUUCAAUGAAAUAAUGGAUCAUGUGAUGAAACACAAAAGCCAGUCCAGGUUCAAAAUUCCAAUCAAGCUCACUGACAACAUCAUGUGUAGUUUCACAAAGCAGAGUGGUACAACGGUGUUGCUUAAACAAGCCUCCUUGAUAAUUUGGGACGAGGUCGCUAUGACAAAACGUCAAGCAGUUGAGACGCUUGAUAGAUCCCUGCAGUAA
rnacentral:rRNA from 1 species